AGAAGCGAGCACCCACUUGCUCAGCUCUACUGCCACUCAAUCAUGGAGCAUCAUCACUUUGACCAAUGCUUGAUGAUUCUCAAUAGUCCCGGCAACCAGAUUCUUAGUGGCCUCUCCAUUGAAGAAUACAAGACCACAUUGAAAAUAAUCAAGCAAGCUAUUUUAGCUACAGACCUAGCACUAUACAUUAAGAGGCGAGGAGAAUUUUUUGAACUUAUAAGAAAAAAUCAAUUCAAUUUAGAAGAUCCUCAUCAAAAGGAGCUAUUUCUG